AUAGUCAGAUUUGUCUUUCAUUGUGAUAAUAUGUAUAAAAACAAGUCCCGACUGGUAAAAGAAUAAAACGAGUGACUUAUUUGGUAAAGUUAAAGGAUAAAAUCCGCUCUGAAAUCAGUAAACCUUGUAUAUUAUCCAUGCAUUGCAUUAAAUAAAUAUGUUGUUCGAAGGGUUUUGUUCGUUCUUCGCAACAUUUACAUAUAAAAUUACGUCACUGAUGGAAGGGAAUUUCCCGUAUAGAAUAGCAUAGAAUGAUUUUAUUGGACAAUCAGCCAAGCGAAACAUAAUACGUCGUAUAUCGUAUUCACAAGAUGCAUAAUACAGCUAGCAUAGGGCUUCGUUGCCGUGGUUUGCUGAGUCGCUGGUGGCGAAGGCAUUGAUUAAUCAAAUCAAUAAAUUUUAUGCAAUUAUUUAACUGACACGAUAUAAACCUUUUGGUUUUUGUAUAUCUACGACUACGACAAUUAUACAGAGUACAGUUAUAUUAGGUUUCUAGAAGGCACCUAGUCUAGCCUAUCCAAAAAAUAGAGAAACAGAAUGUAAAUAACUUCUUAAUACUUUUUACGGGCGUAAUAAUAAUAGUUAUGAAGGUUAGUCAGUGUCACUUACUCACUUGCAUGUGAUCUUUCGCGUGGGAAACGUCAUGCUCAUGUGCAUCAAAUACAUACUCAGAGUCACGACUUUAAUUAAAGGCCUGUUUACACUUGCAAUUUUUGCUACGAUUUCUGGCUCGAUUUUCUUCUUCUCAUGAAUGUUAAC